rnacentral:sRNA from 1 species
AGAUCGGGGACCACGCGGAGGUUGUAAUUGGUCUCUAGACCACACCUAGUUGUUGAGUGCUGCUGCUUGAAAAAUCUCAGUUCUGCCGAGAUCGCAGAAUACACACAAGCUACCUUUGGGCACCAGAGCAGACGGAACCGCGGAGCUUCAGGGUGGAAGAGUCGUGGAAACUUUGCCAACGCGAUGCCGGCCUCGUCCACCGUCCACGUGCUGCAGCUGCUGCGGGAGCUGCUCGCCUUCGUGCUCCUCAGCUACACUGUGCUCAUCGGGGCGCUGCUGCUGGCCGGCUGGACCACUUACUUCCUGGUGCUGAAGUGACAGCGCCGCCGCCGCGCCCGCCCCGCCUCCCGCCCGGCCCCGCCUCCCGCCCGGCCCCGCCUCCCGCCCGGCCCCGCCUCCCGCCCGGCCCCGCCUCCCGCCCGGCCCCGCCUCCCGCCCGGCCCCGCCUCCGUAACUCACCAGGGAAUUCCCUUCAAGCCGUGGCCGGAACUGAGUCCCCGCCCACCCUCCAGCGUCACGGCGCCCGACCCACCUCCGCGUCCUCAGGCCCUGUAUAUGCCCCGCCCCACGCGGAAGUUCCGG